GAGCGCCGUAGCAAUACGGAGCGGCAGACGGGAGAGUAACACGUGGGAACAUGCCCUUCGGUACGGAACAACUCAGGGAAACUUGAGCUAAUACCGUAUGCGCCGGUAACGGGAAAGAUUUAUCGCCGAAGGAUUGGCCCGCGUCCGAUUAGCUAGUUGGUGAGGUAACGGCUCACCAAGGCACCGAUCGGUAGCUGGUUUGAGAGAACGACCAGCCACACUGGGACUGAGACACGGCCCAGACUCCUACGGGAGGCAGCAGUAGGGAAUCUUGGACAAUGGGGGAAACCCUGAUCCAGCCAUGCCGCGUGAGUGAUGAAGGCCUUCGGGUUGUAAAACUCUUUCGGCGGGGACGAUAACGACGGUACCCGCAGAAGAAGCUCCGGCUAACUUCGUG
rnacentral:rRNA from 1 species